AAAUUUCACCUUCCAGUUUCUCCCGCUCGCGGCUUUCCGCAUCGACCAGCUCUAAGCUCCACCGUUUUCCAUGGCAUCGGAGUUCCUGUUACCUACAUCCAAAUCGUGCUCCUUGAAGUCUGUUCCAUAUCAGGCACUUCUCUGAUGCGUCCUUGCCGCCGCUCUCUCCCGACGGUUCUUCUCAAAAUGCAGAGCUGCAAAGUGCGCAUUGUCCUGAGAAAAUAGUCAGAAAAGCUACGGCUACCUUGUCUGUGAAUCAACUCGAGCUUUCCAGAUUCUCCGCCAUUGCCGAAACCUAGUGGGAAUCUGAAGGGCAGUUUAAGCCAUUCCAUGUAUUGAAUCCUACGAGAGUCUCACUUAUCAGAUCCAGUCUUUUCCGGCAUUUUAAGUGAAGAGAUGGCUGGAUUUGUGUGCAAUCCCUUAACCGGGCAAUGGUCCCUUUCAGAUGACACCAGUGUAGAUUACAUCGCGUUUGGUUCAAAAAUCAGCCAGCAAACAAACUAACAAAGACGAUAGCUGCUCGGGAUUCGGAUAACGCUUCAUCGGGGCCGUUGAUUUAUCAAGUUGAUCAUGUUUCCAUCACAAAGAUCGGCCAAUCACAGUCGCUCGUAGGUGGCAUUGGCUCUCAUAGUGUGACAGACGGUGUGUACAAGGCCCCAGAACGAACUCAACGCCGUAUGGAGAUUGACGAUUACUAGCAAUUCCAACUUUGUGCAGG